rnacentral:misc_RNA from 1 species
GAUGAAGAACGCAGUGAAAUGCGAUACGUAAUGUGAAUUGCAGAAUUCAGUGAAUCAUCGAGUCUUUGAACGCACAUUGCGCCCCCUGGUAUUCCGGGGGGCAUGCCUGUCCGAGCGUCAUUGCUGCCCUCAAGCACGGCUUGUGUGUUGGGCCUCCGUCCUCCUCCCGGGGGACGGGCCCGAAAGGCAGCGGCGGCACCGCGUCCGGUCCUCGAGCGUGUGGGGCUUCGUCACCCGCUCUUGUAGGCCCGGCCGGCGCUUGCCGACACAUCAAUCUUUUUUCCAGGUUGACCUCGGAUCAGGUAGGGAUACCCGCUGAACUUAAGCAUAUCAAUAAGCGGAGGA